GUAUAUCAAUAAGCGGAGGAAAAGAAACUAACAAGGAUUCCCCUAGUAGCGGCGAGCGAAGCGGGAAGAGCUCAAAUUUAUAAUCUGGCACCUUCGGUGUCCGAGUUGUAAUCUCUAGAAAUGUUUUCCGCGUUGGACCGCACACAAGUCUGUUGGAAUACAGCGGCAUAGUGGUGAGACCCCCGUAUAUGGUGCGGACGCCCAGCGCUUUGUGAUACAUUUUCGAAGAGUCGAGUUGUUUGGGAAUGCAGCUCAAAUUGGGUGGUAAAUUCCAUCUAAAGCUAAAUAUUGGCGAGAGACCGAUAGCGAACAAGUACCGUGAGGGAAAGAUGAAAAGCACUUUGGAAAGAGAGUUAACAGUACGUGAAAUUGUUGGAAGGGAAACGCUUGAAGUCAGACUUGCUUGCUGAGCAAUCGGUUUGCAGGCCAGCAUCAGUUUUCCGGGAUGGAUAAUGGUAGAGAGAAGGUAGCAGUUUCGGCUGUGUUAUAGCUCUCUGCUGGAUACAUCUUGGGGGACUGAGGAACGCAGUGUGCCUUUGGCGGGGGUUUCGACCUCUUCACACUUAGGAUGCUGGUGGAAUGGCUUUAAACGACCCGUCUUGAAACACGGACC
rnacentral:rRNA from 1 species